rnacentral:rRNA from 1 species
UACGUAGGUGGCAAGCGUUGUCCGGAAUUACUGGGUGUAAAGCGCGUGUAGGCGGCAGACCAAGUCGGCGGUGAAAGCGCCCGGCUCAACUGGGCGAGGUCCGUGGAAACUGGUCAGCUGGAGGACGGUAGAGGCGAGUGGAAUUCCCGGUGUAGUGGUGAAAUGCGUAGAGAUCGGGAGGAACACCUGGUGGCGAAGGCGGCUCGCUGGGCCGGUCCUGACGCUGAGACGCGAAGGCGUGGGGAGCGAACAGG